CAGCCGCCGCGGUAAUACAGAGGGUGCGAGCGUUAAUCGGAUUUACUGGGCGUAAAGCGUGCGUAGGCGGCUUCUUAAGUCGGAUGUGAAAUCCCUGAGCUUAACUUAGGAAUUGCAUUCGAUACUGGGAAGCUAGAGUAUGGGAGAGGAUGGUAGAAUUCCAGGUGUAGCGGUGAAAUGCGUAGAGAUCUGGAGGAAUACCGAUGGCGAAGGCAGCCAUCUGGCCUAAUACUGACGCUGAGGUACGAAAGCAUGGGGAGCAAACAGGAUUAGAUACCCCUUUAGUCCCUGUCUCUUAUAC
rnacentral:rRNA from 1 species